CACGUAGAUGGCUUUGUAAGUCGGAUGUGAAAUCCCCGGGCUCAACCUGGGAACUGCAUUCGAAACUGCAUUGCUCGAGUGUGGAAGAGGGAAGCGGAAUUCCAGGUGUAGCGGUGAAAUGCGUAGAUAUCUGGAGGAACAUCAGUGGCGAAGGCGGCUUCCUGGUCCAACACUGACAUUCAGGUGCGAAAGCGUGGGGAGCAGACAGGAUUAGAUACCCUGGUAGUCCACGCCAUAAACGAUGAGAACUAGAUGUCGGGAGGGUUAGCCUUCCGGUGUCGCAGCUAACGCGUUAAGUUCUCCGCCUGGGGAGUACGGCCGCAAGGUUGAA
rnacentral:rRNA from 1 species